CCCUUAGAUGUCCUGGGCCGCACGCGCGCUACACUGAUGCAUUCAACGAGUAUUUCCUUGGCCGAGAGGCCUGGGCAAUCUUUUAAACCUGCAUCGUGAUAGGGAUAGAUUAUUGCAAUUAUUAAUCUUGAACGAGGAAUUCCUAGUAAACGCAAAUCAUCAAUUUGCAUUGAUUACGUCCCUGCCCUUUGUACACACCGCCCGUCGCACCUACCGAUUGAAUGGUCCGGUGAAAUCUCGGGAUCGUGGCCAGUUCACUUUAUUGGGAGUUGGCUGCGAGAACUUGCUUAAACCUUAUCAUUUAGAGGAAGGUGAAGUCGUAACA
rnacentral:rRNA from 1 species